GUGUGUAUUGACAGGUGGUGGAACAAAUAUGAGUUUUUGAACAUUAGUCAAACAAAAUUAAACUCAUAUUAGUUCUACCUCCUGCUGAAGCCCACA
rfam:Brassica napus, WGS project CCCW01000000 data, contig: 4002